GACUGGGUGGCUCAGUGGUUGAGCAUCUGCCUUUGGCUCAGAGAGUGUUUCCAGGGUCGUGGGAUCCAGUCCCACAUCAGGCU
rnacentral:tRNA from 1 species